rnacentral:rRNA from 1 species
UACGUAGGGGGCAAGCGUUGUCCGGAUUUAUUGGGCGUAAAGAGCGUGUAGGCGGUCUGGUAGGUCCGCUGUGAAAACUCGAGCUCAACCUCGAGACGCCGGUGGAAACCAUCAGACUAGAGUCCGGAAGAGGAGAGUGGAAUUCCUGGUGUAGCGGUGAAAUGCGCAGAUAUCAGGAGGAACACCGGUGGCGAAGGCGGUGGUCUGGGCCGGAACUGACGCUGAGGAGCGAAAGCGUGGGGAGCGAACAGG